rnacentral:rRNA from 1 species
AGUCGGACGAGAAAGUGGAGCAAUCCAUGAGUACAGUGGCGUACGGGUGAGUAACACGUGGGGAUCUACCUUUUGGUGGGGGAUAACUCUGGGAAACCGGAGCUAAUACCGCAUAAGCAGGGGACUGGAAAGCCGAAAGGCGCCGGAAGAGGAGCCCGCGGCCGAUUAGCCAGUUGGUGAGGUAACGGCUCACCAAAGCAAAGAUCGGUAGCCGGCCUGAGAGGGCACACGGCCACACUGGCACUGAAACACGGGCCAGACUCCUACGGGAGGCAGCAGUGGGGAAUCUUGCACAAUGGGGGCAACCCUGAUGCAGCGACGCCGCGUGAGCGAUGAAGCCCUUCGGGGUGUAAAGCUCUUUCGACCGGAACGAUAAUGACGGUACCGGGAGAAGAAGCUGCGGCUAACUACGUGCCAGCAGCCGCGGUAAUACGUAGGCAGCAAGCGUUGUUCGGAGUUACUGGGCGUAAAGAGUGCGUAGGCGGUGGCCUAAGUUCGGUGUGAAAUCUCCCGGCUUAACUGGGAGGGUGCGCCGGAAACUGGGCUGCUGGAGUGUGGGAAAGGCAAGCGGAAUUCCUGGUGUAGCGGUGAAAUGCGUAGAUAUCAGGAGGAACACCGGCGGUGUAGACGGCUUGCUAGACCAUAACUGACGCUGAGGCACGAAAGCGUGGGUAGCA